rnacentral:rRNA from 1 species
UACGGAAGGUCCGGGCGUUAUCCGGAUUUAUUGGGUUUAAAGGGAGCGCAGGCGGGCCUUUAAGCGUGACGUGAAAUGUGGCGGCUCAACCGACGAUCUGCGUCGCGAACUGGUGGUCUUGAGUGCGGACGAGGUAUGCGGAAUUUGUGGUGUAGCGGUGAAAUGCUUAGAUAUCACGAAGAACCCCGAUUGCGAAGGCAGCAUGCCAGGCCGUAACUGACGCUAAUGCUCGAAGGUGCGGGUAUCGAAC